GAUGAAGAACGUAGCGAAAUGCGAUAAGUAAUGUGAAUUGCAGAAUUCAGUGAAUCAUCGAAUCUUUGAACGCACAUUGCGCCCGUCAGUAUUCUGGCGGGCAUGCCUGUUCGAGCGUCAUUACGCCCCUCAAGUCCCCUGUGGACUUGGUGUUGGGGAUCGGCGAGGCUGGUUUUCCAGCACAGCCGUCCCUUAAAUUAGUUGGCGGUCUCGCCGUGGCCCUCCUCUGCGCAGUAGUAAAACACUCGCAACAGGAGCCCGGCGCGGUCCACUGCCGUAAAACCCCCCAACUUUUUAUAGUUGACCUCGAAUCAGGUAGGACUACCCGCUGAACUUAAGCAUAUCAAUAAGCGGAGGA
rnacentral:misc_RNA from 1 species